GAUGAACGCUGGCGGCGUGCCUAAUACAUGCAAGUCGAGCGAACGGACGAGAAGCUUGCUUCUCUGAUGUUAGCGGAGGACGGGUGAGUAACACGUGGAUACCCUACCUAUAAGACUGGUAUAACUUCGGGACACCGGAGCUAAUACCGGAUAAUAUUUUGAACCACGGGGUUCAAUGGUAAAAGUCGGUCUUUCUGUCACUUAUCGCUGGAUCCGCGCUGCAUUAGCUAGUUGGUAAGGUAACGGCUUACCAAGGCAACGAUGCGUAGCCGACCGGAGAGAGGGAUAGCCGACCUGGGAAGUGGGACAGGCACCAUACUCCUACGGGAGGGAGCAGUCGGCAACCGGCGGCAGAGGUGGAAAGUCUGACGGAGCAGGGCCGAGUGAGAGACGACGGUCUUCGGAUCGUAAUACUGUGUUAUUAGGGAAGAACAGAUGUGUAAGUAGCCGAGGCCAGCGUGACGGUAAUUAAUAAGAAAGCAACGGCUAACUACGUG
rnacentral:rRNA from 1 species